GGACUACUUGUUUCUAUUUCUCUCAGGAAAGAAACAGAAGUUUCGAGUACCCCUUCUAAAGAUCAAGGUCGCUACACACGGUGGAAAUCUCUCGGUCUCUCUCCCAACGCGAGAGGCGGUUUCCAGGCGGGCUGCCUCCACUGGUCUCCAUCGCCUCCGGUAAGCCGUCGGGCUCUCGGAGGUGUGCGGGACAGUGUACGACCGCGAGGCGGUUGUAGAUAAUGUUGUUUUAGAAUUUUAUUCUGGCACUGGCGGGCAGGUAGGGGCGACGUCAACGCUGUGGGAUAAGGUUCCCCCUGGCUCCUUUCCCGUCUCCGCGGUGAUCCCUCCGGCCGGUGGCACUGCGGGGUUAGGGAGGUUGGCCUCUCUCUUAUCCGGCGAGGUUUGGUCGGUGAUGGGGGUGCACAAUAGUAUAGAAGUUGGGAUUUGUGGAGAGGGAUUCCCAGAUCAGGUCGCCUCGGACGGCCGACAGCUGCGCACUGUUGCGGGCGAAGUGGUUUGAGUUGCGGCUCCACUCCGUCAUAGGCUGCCGCUGGUCAAGGGAUCACUUGGUCUACCCCAGGCCGAUGCACCAGAACCCUCCCUGGUUCCGUCUUUUGGGGAGGGACUUAUAUGCGGCUCACAAAGCCAUGGAUUGGCGAUGCUGCUCCUCAUGCCCGUUGUCUUGUGGAUGACGGCUAGCACCGGCGAGUGCAGAGAUCAGCGUGCCUGGGUGAAUAAGGAAGAUGAACUGGGCUGUAAGUUACUUUGUUUUCUCUGUCGGCGUUAUUCCCUUUAGUGUUAUCUCUGCCUCUCUAGUUCUCAACCUCCAACGACAUGCCCUUUUUUGUGCUGGCCAUGGAGGCUAGCAGCGGCAGGACUGCCAUGACUAGGCCGCGCAAUAUUUCUAACAGUGUUGAGCUACUCGUUCCCGACAGCUCCGGUGCCAAGCUGCCAAGCAGGUAUGUGUGUGAUGGAUCUUUUAAUUUUAAGUUUGCUUCCUGUUCGAUUAGGUGCAUAUUUCGCAAGAUAAUGUUGUUCUAUCAUGUCUCUGAUUUUGAUUUCGAUUUUGAUUUUUCCUGCAGAUUUCAGGAUAUAGAAGGCAGCUUCAGGAAGGGGUCGCUGACGAGGUGAGACCAUUGCGUCUAUUCUUGUGUUAGUUUGUUUCAAAGAAAUCACACUAAUUUCUCUCAGUAUACUCUGCAGAGAAAUAAGUACUGAAGCAGGCUUCACCGAAGACUACUGAUCUAGAAUUGUUUGUUGCUGAAAUAAGUCCAGGAGCGGUGGAGCAGGCUGAACAAUUUUCUGUUGAUUUUACUGAAUGGAUUGUCCCUGUAAUUUGACCAAACGUCAUGUCGCCGUGCCACUGAAGUUUUUGCACAGAAUUCUUGUCUUUUUGGGUGGUGCCAAGCUGUCUUUUUGUUGAACAAUGCCACAAUUGCAUAGUUGUAAGUUAUUUAGGAUUGUCUCUAUUGCAUACGACCUGGAGUUACAAGAGGUCCAGUACUAAUUUUGUGUAUGUAUGUACAUGUGCAGUCACCCAUUUUCUAUACACAAGAUUCCAAAGCAUCUUUUACUGUACAUUUUGUUUCUUUUCUCGGUACAAAAUGUAUUGCAAGUGUUGUUCAUUUUUUCCCUUCUCUAAAUAUACUAGAGACCCUCUAAGGGCUCAGUUUUCUUCCCGUUUGUCUGAAUAUACCCAGAUUUAUUUUGUGUGUGCGUAUUUAACAAAGCAUUUAGUUA
rnacentral:lncRNA from 1 species